CUUGGUCAUUUAGAGGAAGUAAAAGUCGUAACAAGGUCUCCGUAGGUGAACCUGCGGAGGGAUCAUUAUUGAGUGGUCUUUGACCUUCUACCCCUCAAACCUGUGGAAGCUAAAAACGUGCUUCGGGGCCUUUUUUGGGCGCCGCUUUUAUGCAUAAAUCCGUGUGUCGUCUGGAUCAUACACAAGAAUCAAAACUUUCAACAAAGGAUCUCUUGGCUCUCGCAUCGAUGAAGAACGCAGCGAAGCGCGAAAUGUAGUGUGAAUCGCAGAACAUUGUGAAUCAUCGAAUCUUUGAACGCACAUUGCGCCUCCCUUAACAGGGAGGCAUGCCUGUCUGAGUCUCAUUUAAUCUAUAAACCCGAUUGGGUUUGUGCCUGGGCGUUCGCUUGACCGGCGUCGCCUCAAAGUCAUCUGUCUUAUGAGCGGACGAGAUCCUUUUGGACUGACCGUUUGUGGGACCCUAAAUCUCUGAUUUGAGCUCAGAUCAGGUAGGACUACCGCCUGAACUUAAGCAUAUCAAUAAGCGGAGGA
rnacentral:rRNA from 1 species